GCGCGCCAGGCCAGGAGCGGUGACGCGGAGCGCACGGAGGACGACGGCGGCGGCGACGCCAGCACGCCCCGUGCGCGUGGGAGGGGAUAAAGCCUGGAUCUGAAACAGCAUGUACCAGAUUUGCAGCUGUUAGGCUGAAAAGAUCUAGAUGAAGAUUGAAAAGCAUCCUUGUUUUAGGAAUUCUGUGCACCAAACACAGGAGAGGAAGGAGAACACAGGAAUCAUCACUUCUGCACACAGACUGUCUGAAUUAAUCUUUAGCUUUAAGCCUCAAGGAAGAAUAGGCUGUAUCAGUAGUUUAUCAUAAAUGUAUCCUAAUACAGGCUUCAGAUUAAAGUAGGUUAAUCCAACAAGCUGCUAAAAUCAAAAGCACGAUGGAAAUUUGAUGAGUUAGGACUGUCACAUCAGCUCCAGUGUAACAUGGUGACAUCAAGACAACUCAGUGUAUACCAGUGCAUAAGUUCAUCAGUGUUACAAGGCAGUUUGAUUCCUAAAGCAACUGAACUAAAACCCUCCGAAAGUUCGGCUGGAAAGCAUCCAUGGAUGAACUAAACUGGUUGUUUUAAGCAAACUGGAAAUUAAGUGGUUUGUAGUUCAGAGAAGAGCAUAACUGAGAAAAUAUGAAAUCCUACUUGAGGAUGAAAGCGGAAUUGAAGAAGACAGUUCUAAAGCCAGGCUGGGCUGCUGCAGAGAUGGCACUCUGCUCUGACUCAUUGGGCUCUACUGCUGUGCAGCCAAUAUGAAAUUUAAAAAGGUUCAGUUGUGGCUGUAAAAAGUAUUACUGGAACAAGUCAUGGAUUGGGAACUUAAAACAGUGAAGGAAAAGGAGGAAAAGAUCUUGACAUUUCUUCAGUGAUCCUGAAUGAAGAAGGUACUUAGAUAUUAUUGUGAUGAGUGACAUAAACUGGUAAGAGAUGAAAGCCAGUAAAUGAAACUACCUAUAAACUCUAUGCUAUAAACCAGUUUUCAUUCACUAAGUUAAGUGGAUACUGAAAGGCUAAUGAACUGUGAAAAGGUAAUUUAAUAUUAAAAUACUAAUUAAAACUACUUUAUUUCAGUAUUAAAUUUGAAACCCUUCCUUCCAAAAUGUAUUAAAAUCCUUUCUAACACCCACUCCUUGAAAAUAGCUGAAGUGUGUGUUCAUCCUAAACAAUGCCACGUUAGCACAGACUCAAUUCAAGGAACUCAUGUAGGGGAAAAGUCUUUUUAUGAACAAAGCUUCUGGCUUUCUGAAGGUUUCUGGUUGCAAAAGUGCUAUGUGAAGUGAUCUCUUUAACUGGCCACAGAAGUUGAAAGCAAACCGUGCUAGCAAAAAGGCAUGGUUUCUAAACUCCAAGAAAUAAAAUUGCUGGAAUUGAUGGAUACAUUCAAGAACAUAUUUAUGAGUAUCUGUUACCUAUUAAAUCUGUCUUGGGUAGGAGUUCUGUAAGGAGCAGACUUGUUAAAAAUCCUCAGUUUCUAAAGGGGUAUCAAAGUUUCUUUAAACUGGGCUUCUUCAAAACAGAUGUCAUUGUAUCUGAGCGUAAAACCAGCAAUUGAAGCCCUUGAUUGACUACAGAGAGUGUACAUGUUCCUUUGUUUUAAUUUCUGGCAGUUCUCCUGGGCAGAUGGAGAAGCACUGAGGUUAUUUCAGUGUAAUGUAAAAUCCAGUGCUUCACAAAGGGUUUGAUGUGUGUUUGGAUCUCAUGAGUGGUGUUCCUCCCUCUGGUUUAGUGGGGAAAAUGGGAGAGUGGUGAGCUUUCAGGUUGUCCCUGGAGGCUCAUUUAAAUUUAGAAAUACUUCUAAGUUUUAGCAACACAACUUCUGAUGUGGUAGAAGCUUGCUUUCUUCUCAAAGCAUUCCUGCUUUACAGACAUGUUUUUAACCUUGGGGGAAGGUGGCAUGCACAGGGUUAAAUAGGCAGUUGUUUUUCUAAAGAGUAUCUUAAGAGAACAAAUCACUUGAAAACCAGUAUUUUUGGAGUCCCACCCUGCCUUUUUCUUUGCUUUUUCUUUAAGUGAAUAACAUACUUGCAUUCUCUACAUAGAAAGUGAAUCCUUCCAAGUAAUUCCUUGUUCCUGCUGUGGGAGAGGUCUGUUUGUUUGGCACUUGUUAAAAAAAGGAAUAAUGCAAGCCAUCCCAUAAUGAGGUGUAUUGCCCUUUGGGUUUUGCUGGGGGGUAUCUAAACACACAGGUAAGAAUGUAUGUUCAGCCAUAUAAGGUGGCUACAUGACUUGCAGGAGUGGUUCAGACUCCUGCUGGGCUAAACACCUGCAUCCAUGAAGGUCCUUGUCCUGGAACA